AAUAGGAACGUGACCAUUAGAUAGAAAGGUAUAGUUGUUGAAGCCUUCCAGCAGCAGAUCAUCUAAAAGACAAAGAAGAAAAGUGAGUAUUUGAGUAGCAUAAAAAGGGCUGGAAAUGACUUAGGACUGGAGUUACAUCAAUGAAAACAGCAAAGACAGGCAAAUCUUCUACUGGGACUGCAGGUCAAGCUCUUUGAAGGUGAGGAUAUAUCGGUUCCACCAGAAUUUGAAUUGAUUCUGAAUAAGGAAUGACAUUGUAAUAUUGAGAUGUAACAAAAUAACAGUUU